rnacentral:pre_miRNA from 1 species
AGGAGGAACAACAACAGUGGCGAGGCCAGCUCUCCAGCUCUGGAUUCAGCUCCCACAGUAACUACAGAGCUCUCAGUCUGCAGGGUCCUGGAUGCUCCGGAGGUGG